CCUACGGUGGGCAGCAGUGGGGAAUAUUGGACAAUGGGCGAAAGCCUGAUCCAGCCAUGCCGCGUGUGUGAAGAAGGCCUUCGGGGUGUAAAGCACUUUCAGUGGGGAAGAAAGCCUUGGGGCUAAUACCCUCGAGGAAGGACAUCACCAACAGAAGAAGCACCGGCUAACUCCGUGCCAGCAGCCGCGGUAAUACGGAGGGUGCGAGCGUUAAUCGGAAUUACUGGGCGUAAAGCGCGCGUAGGCGGUCUGAUAAGCCGGUUGUGAAAGCCCCGGGCUCAACCUGGGAACGGCAUCCGGAACUGUCAGGCUAGAGUGCAGGAGAGGAAGGUAGAAUUCCCGGUGUAGCGGUGAAAUGCGUAGAGAUCGGGAGGAAUACCAGUGGCGAAGGCGGCCUUCUGGACUGACACUGACGCUGAGGUGCGAAAGCGUGGGUAGCAAACAGGAUUAGAUACCCGUGUAGUC
rnacentral:rRNA from 1 species